ACGCUGGCGGCGUGCCUAAUACAUGCAAGUAGAACGCUGAAGAGAGGAGCUUGCUCUUCUUGGAUGAGUUGCGAACGGGUGAGUAACGCGUAGGUAACCUGCCUUGUAGCGGGGGAUAACUAUUGGAAACGAUAGCUAAUACCGCAUAACAAUGGAUGACACAUGUCAUUUAUUUGAAAGGGGCAAUUGCUCCACUACAAGAUGGACCUGCGUUGUAUUAGCUAGUAGGUGAGGUAACGGCUCACCUAGGCGACGAUACAUAGCCGACCUGAGAGGGUGAUCGGCCACACUGGGACUGAGACACGGCCCAGACUCCUACGGGAGGCAGCAGUAGGGAAUCUUCGGCAAUGGGGGCAACCCUGACCGAGCAACGCCGCGUGAGUGAAGAAGGUUUUCGGAUCGUAAAGCUCUGUUGUAAGUCAAGAACGAGUGUGAGAGUGGAAAGUUCACACUGUGACGGUAGCUUACCAGAAAGGGACGGCUAACUACGUGCCAGCAGCCGCGGUAAUACGUAGGUCCCGAGCGUUGUCCGGAUUUAUUGGGCGUAAAGCGAGCGCAGGCGGUUUGAUAAGUCUGAAGUUAAAGGCUGUGGCUCAACCAUAGUUCGCUUUGGAAACUGUCAAACUUGAGUGCAGAAGGGGAGAGUGGAAUUCCAUGUGUAGCGGUGAAAUACGUAGAUAUAUGGAGGAACACCGGUGGCGAAAGCGGCUCUCUGGUCUGUAACUGACGCUGAGGCUCGAAAGCGUGGGGAGCGAACAGGAUUAGAUACCCUGGUAGUCCACGCCGUAAACGAUGAGUGCUAGGUGUUGGAUCCUUUCCGGGAUUCAGUGCCGCAGCUAACGCAUUAAGCACUCCGCCUGGGGAGUACGACCGCAAGGUUGAAACUCAAAGGGAAUUGACGGGGGCCCGCACAAGCGGUGGA
rnacentral:rRNA from 1 species